GCCGGUGUGGCGGAAUGGCAGACGCGGCGGACUUAAAAUCCGCUAUCUUUAUGAUGUGUGGGUUCGAGUCCCUCCUCCGGCACCA
rnacentral:tRNA from 1 species